rnacentral:rRNA from 1 species
UUCCGGUUGAUCCUGCCAGACCACACUGCUAUUGGGAUGAGACUAAGACAUGCUAGUCGUGCGUCUCCAAGCCAUGAUGGAGAAGCGGCAUACAGCUCAGUAACGCGUGGCUAACCUACCCUUAGGAUGGAAACACCUCCGGGAAACUGGAGUUAAUUUCUAAUAGGUGAUGAAUACUGGAAUGUGACAUCACUCAAAGGGCAUUUAAAUCAUGCUUUUAGAUACUGCCUAAGGACGGGGCCGCGACCGAUCAGGUUGUUGGUGAGGUAAAGGCUCACCAAGCCUUUAACCGGUACGGGCCGUGAGAGCGGGAGCCCGGAGAUGGGCACUGAGAUAAGGGCCCAGGCCCUACGGGGCGCAGCAGUCGCGAAACCUUCGCAAUACGCGCAAGCGUGACAGAGGUCAUCCCAAGUGCCGUCCGCUGAGGACGGCUUUUACCCAGUGUAAAUAGCUGGGAGAAUAAGGAGAGGGCAAGCCUGGUGUCAGCCGCCGCGGUAAUACCAGCUCUCCGAGUGGUGUGGAUACUUAUUGGGCCUAAAGCAUUCGUAGCCGGCUAGAUAAGUCUCUCGUUAAAUCCAGCGUUUCAAUCGUUGGGCUGCGAGAGAUACUGUUUAGCUAGGGGACGGGAGCGGUCGACGGUAUUUCCGGGGUAGGGGUGAAAUCCUAUAAUCCCGGGAGGACCACCAGUGGCGAAGGCUGUUGACUAGAACGUGCCCGACGGUGAGGGAUGAAAGCUGGGGGAGCGAACCGGAUUAGAUACCCGGGUAGUCCCAGCCGUAAACUAUGCAGGCUAGGUGUUGGAGCGGCUACGUGCCGCCCUAGUGCCGCAGGGAAGCCGUUAAGCCUGCCGCCUGGGGAGUACGGCCGCAAGGCUGAAACUUAAAGGAAUUGGCGGGGGAGCACCACAAGGGGUGAAGCUUGCGGUUUAAUUGGAUUCAACGCCGGA